GACGAACGCUGGCGGCGUGCUUAACACAUGCAAGUCGAACGAAAAGGCCCUGCUUUUGUGGGGUGCUCGAGUGGCGAACGGGUGAGUAACACGUGAGUAACCUGCCCUUGACUUUGGGAUAACUUCAGGAAACUGGGGCUAAUACCGGAUAGGAGCUCCUGCUGCAUGGUGGGGGUUGGAAAGUUUCGGCGGUUGGGGAUGGACUCGCGGCUUAUCAGCUUGUUGGUGGGGUAGUGGCUUACCAAGGCUUUGACGGGUAGCCGGCCUGAGAGGGUGACCGGCCACAUUGGGACUGAGAUACGGCCCAGACUCCUACGGGAGGCAGCAGUGGGGAAUAUUGCACAAUGGGCGGAAGCCUGAUGCAGCAACGCCGCGUGCGGGAUGACGGACUUCGGGUUGUAAACCGCUUUCGCCUGUGACGAAGCGUGAGUGACGGUAAUGGGUAAAGAAGCACCGGCUAACUACGUG
rnacentral:rRNA from 1 species